UAAUGUAUUUCUUCCACGUAUUUGAAGUAAUUUUUAAUUUAAAUCCAAACAUGUGAAUACCUGAAAGCUCCCCAAAAAAAGGACCAUACAAGAUGCACGCCGGACUUACAUAUUACAUCGGCCAUUCGACCCCUCACCUCGGCACUUUCUAAGUACAAACCGUUGUUCGUUUUCACGAUUUAAAUUUUAAAUCGCACGCGCGCGUGGCGCUGAUUACCGGCGCGUUUAUUUCGCCGUCGCGGUGACGUCGUCCCGGCUGACGACGGCGCGACGCCGUCCCGACACAUCGCCGCCAUCGCGAAACAUAUCUCGGAUUCGGCCGAGGUAAUUUAUCAGAACUGGAAGUCGAGAAAUUUGGUACCGUCGGAUUUGAUUAACUGCCACGGGGCCGGAGAAACUGCCAAAUUAGGGCUUACCCUAAAGACUUUUAUCUAUAGUCCUCUAAAAAAACCGAAAGUGCUGUUUGAAGAAAAUUGGUCCUACACCAUUUUUCAGGGAUGCAGCAAAGAAUUUUGCAAAAUUUUUACCUUACCUGGAAAAGAAAACGGGUUAUAGAGUUCUUCGAAAUCCUACGAAUAGUCAAAUGAUUCAACUAAUUAACCUAAAGUUAUAAAUAUUAAUAAAGAGGUUCUUUACAUAGCUGCUCAGAGCUAUACAAAAGGAUUUAGGUUUGCUUGCACAGUGGAUCAGGCCUAUUGUAGUUAGCUACCCAGAGAUCCGACCAACACCAUCCAACAGAAAGCCAAUAAACUAAUAACAAAUCUAAAGAAUCAAGGACAUUUGACGGAAGAGAUAGCUAAAAAUCUGAGAUUUUAUGGACAAACCUCACCUAAAUUUUAUGGCUUACCAAAAAUUCACAGCAGAUUGGCAAAGUUUUUGACUGAUAUACUGGAACAAUCAUGAAAUAGGAAUAACGAUUAUUAUAUAAAAGAUACUUUUGAUUUUGCCAAUUUCAUCAAUGGUAGACAAUUACCUAACAAUUAUGUACUUCAAUUAUGUUGUAUCACUAUUUAGCAAUAUUCCUUACGAUUAGUAGAGAUUAGUGAAAGAGGAUACUGGAAUGUAAUUUGUGAACAAAUUAGUAUCAGUUUUAUUAAUUUUUCAACUAUUUUAAAGUUUAUUUUUGACACUACCUAUUUCAAAUUUGAUAAUAAAUUUUAUAAAUAAAUACUGGAUACUCUUAUGGGAGCUACUAUUUCACUGAUCUCACAAUAUGUAAUGGACAAUUUACUAAAGUGUUGUGUUCCUAAACUUUCUUUUCAACUACCUUUCUUAAAAAAGUUUGUUGAUGACACAAUCUGUGCUGUACCUGAGGAUGGCAUUGAUGAGAUCCUUCGGGUUUUCAAUAGUUAUUAUCCCUUUAUACAAUUUACUGUAGA